UUUGCCGUACACCCGUGAUUCCUGAAGAUAUGCAGGCGGCUUUCAAUGAGAGGCUAUGGGCUGCUUCUGGGAUUCCUGAGUUCUACGGCGAGUAUUCUUAGAUUUUAGAUUCAAUAAUUUCCAACCCAAGAAAAAGAAAAAAGAUAGACAAUUUUACCUUUUUUUUCUUGCUUUUUUUUUUUUUUUUUUUUUCUCUUUAAGGGAGUGGGUGAGCAAAAUGCUACACCUAAAAAUUAACUAUUCAACAAGGAAUGGAUGAAAUUUUUUUACGAUAAAUUAUAUUAUUUUCCAAAUAUUUCAUAUGUUAAACGAUCAAUUAAAUAGCUCAUCCUAGCCUAUCGUCUGCAAAAGAAUAC
rnacentral:misc_RNA from 1 species